AAUUAAUCAAUCCUUACAGUUUUGUUACUGUUAAGGACUUGGAUUGUGGAGGUUGCGGGCUUUCUAACAAGUCGGCUCCUCUUAAAAGCAUGAGUGAAACCUUUGUUAACAAUCUCUAGUGUGAUAAUUAUCUACGCUACUGAUAUUAAUAAGGAUUUGCUUUCUAACUGUCUUUACUUUGAAGACAAUUUAUUGACCA
rnacentral:misc_RNA from 1 species